GCCGCCUUAGCUCAGUGGUAGAGCAACGGUUUCGUAAACCGUAGGUUGGAGGUUCGAUUCCGCCCUGCGGCACCA
rnacentral:tRNA from 1 species